ACUCAAUAGAUACCCCGGUAGUCCUGGCAGUAAACGGUGCGCGUUUGGUGUGGGAGGAUUCGACCCCUUCUGUGCCGGAGCUAAACGCGUUAAACGCGCCGCCUGGGGAGUACGGUCGCAAGAUUAAAACUCAAAGAAAUUGAACGGGGCCCGCACAAGCGGUGGAGUAUGUGGCUUAAUUCGAUGCAACGCGAAGAACCUUACCUAGCCUUGACAUGCAUCUCUAAGUCGGUGAAAGCCGGCGACUGUAGCAAUACAGAAUUUGCACAGGUGCUGCAUGGCUGUCGUCAGCUCGUGUCGUGAGAAUGUUGGGUUAAAGUUCCCGCAACGAAGCGCAACCCCUCGUCGAACUAGUU
rnacentral:rRNA from 1 species